rnacentral:misc_RNA from 1 species
UGUGGCACUCUCUUCUCAAGGUAAUUAAUUAAUCUUAAUCACUCUGUAUUCUUCUUCUUCUUCCCAUUAACGCUUCUCGAUAGUUGUCUUCUUCUACUCCUCCUUUGGUUUUAGCUAGCAUGACGCAGAUAUAAAUAAUUAUGAGAGGAGAGGCCUAGCUAUACUUACUCCAUUCGUAAAAAAGAGAGGACGAAUGGGGAAGGAAAAGAAGAGGCGUUAUGAGUAGUAGUUCUUGUGCUAUCUUGUUUUAAGGCUAAGAUUCCUCAAGUGACAGUAGAGAAAUAAAAGUUUUGAUUCCUCAUUUCUUUUUCGUUUUCUUCUGUUUUCUUGCAAAUGGGCAUUAUUAUUUUUUUCCUUGGGAAAAUUAUUUUUGGGUAUCUCAUAAUUGAAUUUUCACUACCACUACUACUGUGGUGUGAAAACAUGUUCCCACGUGAACAAUCUAUGGAAACUGCCAUGGUCAUAGAGGCUUCUUUCAGUGAGGACGAAAAGAAAAGAAAAGAAAAUUAAAAAGAAAAGAAAAACAGUUCAUCUUUUCUUUCACCUCGGAACCACCGCCCCUUUUGGUUGUUUACUUUUUUCCUAUUCACGUGUUGCUAUGCCAUGUAGAGGUUGCUGCUGCGUGUUGUUUACCAUGUUUGUUCUCUUAUGGGUUGGCUAGAUGUGAUCAGCUCUGUGCUUCUGCAGGUGCUCCUUUUUUAUGAAAACGUUGGCCCUAACCAGCCCUUCUUC